CAGCUCGCCAUGCUAGAGCACUUUUUCAUUGUGCUCCCCAACGAGAAGGCGACGACGCAUUCGUAUGUCAAUCCAUAUCAACUUUCGAUGCCAUUGACUGCGCCUACCAUGGUGACCAUGGGCAACGGGGAAUCAGGGUUCCAUUCCGUACAGGGACCCUGACAAAUGGCUACCACAUGCAAGGAAGGCAGCAGGCACGCAAAUGACCCACUCCCUACGCGGGAAGGUAGUGA